AGGGUCUAUGUAGUCCUGGAUGGGCCUAUUUCAAGUUUACAUUCCCCUCAACCUCAGUGAGAGGAGAAGGACAUGGUGAUUUUUCUGCUUCCCGAAUGACUAUCACCCUUCACCUUGUGGUAAGUUAAAGGGCAGAGUGUGUAGGUGAUGACUGAAUCCACUCCCCGUACCCCAGGCCUGUCACCUGAAAUCUCUGCAGAAUGAUUUGAGGUAUCCUUGAACAGAUGCAAAUAUACAUUAUAAGCAUCGUAAUAAGCAUCAACAUUCAAUGCAUCUAGGGUAAUUAUCCCAACAUCACAGGUAAUCAUCCCCUGGUACCA
rnacentral:lncRNA from 1 species